rnacentral:lncRNA from 1 species
AAGAAGCAUGGUAAUGAAAAUCAUGAAGUUGGACAUCAAUGGUGUGACACAAAUUGUCACACCCUAGUUCAAAAAAUCAUAUCUCACAAACCACAAAUGAUAAAUGCACAAACUUUAUACCAAAAUCACCAUGAAUGUGUCUAGUUUAAGCACAAAAAAUUUGGGAGCCAUUGGAUACAUUCUCAUCAUUUCACAAUUGAUUUGGCAAAGUGUACAAAAUUUGGUCACAUGUCACAAACCCUAAGGCCAUUUAAAAACCAUCCAUCCAAAAAUUCUGGAAAAAUAAUGAUAAAAAAGUAGAGAUCAUGAUGAACACAACACAAAAAAUCCCAUU